GGGCCGGUGGUGUCAAUUGGGAGCACAGGAGAGUGUGAUUCUCCGUAUGCGGGUUCGAAUCUCGCCCAGUCCA
rnacentral:tRNA from 1 species